UUAUGCUCUGAAAUAUUAAAUGUUGAUUUCAGUUUUGCUUGUAAUUAUCUUUAAUUAUUCGCCAUUAAGAAAUAUUAUGGUACUCUGGAUAAGAAUAACUUGAAGUGAUCGCUGGCUGUAGCUUGAACCAUCCUCCAGUCAUACGCCCCAGAACCAGCAAAACAAAACACCGUCAGGUCAUUAAGAACACAAAUACUUACCUCUCACACGCUCCCAAUAGCGGAAAGCCAAUUUUGCUUAAAAUGUGGAAAGGUGACUAAAGACAACUGACAUUAGAAGUCGUAAUAGCCUACAUUUUUAAACGCAUUUCUAGAACAGUGUGCAAGUGAGCGGGGCUUCGUGGGAUUUGUAGUUCGGAGGUUUUGUAGUUCUUUAACCGGAGUAUAUAAUAUAAUAACAAGUAAACAAAUACUCACGUUGGGAAGAAAGAGGAUACAUUUCUUGCUGUUAAACAAUUAGAAAACCCCAAAUAGAAGAAAAUAGUUAAAGACAAAAAAGAAGAUAACAUAAUUAGAGCACAGGUCGACAAUAAGUUGCAAAACUACAAACUCUGUAGAUGAGUAACUCUGAAACUCCGCCUCUGCUCUGGGUCAUAAGAGAGUCAGUUGUUCAUUUUUAACUGGAUUCAGCAGGAUACCUAACUUGGUCUAAAAAUGAUUACUCUUGUCAUUGUGAGUGUGCUGCUGGCGCUGGCUGCUGGAAAACCUUGUGCAUCAGAUCACGAGGCUCUUCUCCUGUCCCUCAAUAAACAGCUGCUGCGCUCCGUGGACACGAAAGAUACCCUACCCAAUCCCAGUGUGCACAUCGCCCUCCGGCUCUCAACAAACCAUAAUCUAGCUAAAGAGAGCGAAUACCUCAACCGCCUCAAGGCAGAGUUUCAUGAUGAUAUUGAGAAGUAUAGAACACAUAUCACAUCUUUCCCAUUCAACUUUAAAACAAUAGUAAAUUACUUCAGGAAAAACAAAACAUUGCAUUCGGUCACCGUCCAAAGACCAACUACUAUCAGUACUCUCUGGGCAUUCUGGCUCUGUGUGUGAGCAGUGUUAGAGUCAACACACAUGUCAGCCAGAAGCUCAUCCAUGCUGUGGAACACAGACAGAUAAAACACGGAGAGUCAUUAUGUGUGGGUGAGUUUAAAUCAGCUUCUUUUUCAGUCAUCUAUUUACCUACCCUCAUGUAAACUACCAAACCCAUAUGUACNNNNNNNNNNNNNNNNNNAUUGUUUUGU
rnacentral:lncRNA from 1 species